UGGCGGACGGGUGAGUAACGCGUAAAGAACUUGCCCUUUAGACUGGGAUAACAGAGGGAAACUUCUGAUAAUACUGGAUAAGUUAGUAUAUCGCAUGAUAUGCAAAUGAAAGCUACGGCACUAAAGGAGAGCUUUGCGUCCUAUUAGCUAGUUGGUAAGGUAAGAGCUUACCAAGGCGAUGAUAGGUAGCCGGCCUGAGAGGGUGGACGGCCACAAGGGGACUGAGAUACGGCCCUUACUCCUACGGGAGGCAGCAGGA
rnacentral:rRNA from 1 species